CGAAAAUCCGUAAAACAAGAAAUAAAAUUGGUCUGGCCUAAUAAGGUUAUAUUUUGCAUAUUGAUAAUCAUUGAGGGUUUGAAGUUGCUGACAAAUUAUUAUUAUUAUUAUUUUUUUCGUUAAGUGCAUCAUGGCUCACAAACCUCUGUUCUCUGUUGCGAUUCUGUGUUAGACCUGGUCCUGUGUUUGUUGAAUAAGGUGACUUUACAGGUGAGGUGAUCUUCCUCAGGUGACUUUACAGGUGAGGUGAUCUUCCUCAGGUGACUUUACAGGUGAGGUGAUCUUCCUCAGGUGACUUUACAGGUGAGGUGAUCUUCCUCAGGUGACUUUACAGGUGAGGUGAUCUUCCUCAGCUGCCUCAAGAUAAAGUAGAACAUGAGAUAUUGGGCACAGCGGAAAAUUGUUUGUGUGUGAGUGUAGACUGAAGGAAUAAUUGAUAUAUUUCUUAUUCUGGUUUGAAACAAAUUGUUGACAUGAACUUGGUUCUGACUUCUAUGUGUACUGUGAUUGUGCUCCCUUAAACUCUCUCAUCAACAGGAUACUGCUUUGAGUUGAUCCUCACCCAUCCUUGACCGUUCCCAGCUAUACCUGUCCUCACUCACUCACCCACCCUCACCCUCGCAACAACCCACCCACAUUCCUUCCUCUAUUAACACACAUCCACCCACACUACCCACACUCACCUGUGCCCACCCUCCUCUCUAUCACUACCACCCUAAAACCCAACACACUCCCUCCUCUACGCACAUCAACACACACUACCUCCCCCCCUUCCAACACAUGCACACCAGCCAGUCGACCCUCUCCCGCGCAUCCACCCACACCCAUUACCCCCACCCACUAUCCCUCACCCACACCCCUCACAAUAAACAGGGAACUAGAGUCAUAUCUAUUGAGGUUCAUGAGAAACUGAGAGCAGCAUACAGGUCGGGCAAAUUUGGAUGAGGACUAGAGGACAGAAUGGUUUUGUGGAGCUAGUAGAUGAAAAAGAGAAACUUAUUCAGACAUUUAAUUUCCAAAAGCUUUCCCAUUUUUUUAUUUUGUCAACCUAAUACAACAACAAAAAUAAUAAAACUAAGAUACACUAUGACAUACAUCCUGUUAUUGAAGUUUAGUGUGUAAAAUACAUACGUUUUCUUUUCAGAAGUGCAGGACAUGCACUGUGUAUAGGUAAUAGUAGUCUGCCUCACAGUCCCUGAAUCACCUUAUUAUCACUACAGCCCAGCCCUCUCUGUAAUGCUAAAACCCUAAAUGAAGCAAGUCUAGAUUUGCCCAGGUUCUGAAUCUUCCAUCUGACAGGGGCUCCUUUUCAAUAAAAAUGGUUUAUUUGUUACUAUCAAAAUUAUGUGUACAUUCAGGGGCUAAGCGUUAGUCUUAUAGGUGUACGUGUGCUCAGUUGGGGCCCAGUGGCUGCAUCAUCUAGCCCCAAAUGAGAAUAAUUAUAGAAACUUGGUCAACCUGGCGUAAAAUGCACUCAAGUGCACUUACAAAUGACUUAAAGUGGAAUUAUUUAUUCAUUUCUUGUUAACAGUUAAUAUUUGUGCAUAUCAUUAUAUGUUGUACAUACAAUGUUACCAUUUCCACCAUUGUCAUAUGGAGGCCUGGGUUUCCAUGGCAACUUACAUUCCAUGGGGUACUAUUUGCUGGGAAAUAUGGCCCCCUGGGACCAAAUUGUUUUGUUAAAUAGGUUUUGUUCUGUUCCAGGAUUGUCACAGUGUGUGGGUAUUGUUUUGUUUUGGCGAUGUGUUAUUUAUUGUGUAAUAUUAGUGUUAAAUUAAUGACAGCUCUACUGCUUUAUGCAACAUGUUUUUGACCUUAGACAUGACUUGAAGAUUGACACACCGGUACCGUACUUGACAUAUUUAGUGUGACUCCUUAUUAAGCACCCUUAAUCGAAAUAUGUAGCUCACACAUCGCUUUUGCCCCCAAAGUUUUUACCUCUUUUAACUUUAAAAUGAGUGAAAUGAAUCACAUGAUUACAACUGAAGAAAGUAAUGAAUAUAGCUCAUCGGGGCGACUGUGAACCAAGGAGUAGAACAGUAUUUUUACGGUGCCGGGCGAUACCUGUUGAUUGACUUUUUGUGCGAUUGUAGACCUCUUUCUAAUUAACAUCCCUCUUUUCUGGGUACCUAGUAAAUGCCUAUUUGGAUUUUAGUGAACUAAGUGGUCAGGGCGCUAAAUACGUCAAAUAUGGCAGUCCCGAUCAGUUGUCACAAAUACAUUUCAAUCUUAUCAAGUAUUUAUUAAGUUUGUAAUGACAUUAUUAGCUACAGCAUGUGUUUUAUUGGUAACAGUUGUAUGUUUUCAAUUAUUACAGUAGCGACAGAAAAAAAUGAAGUGUUAUUAUUUAUACUUUUUUCUUAUGGCAAAUGAUACUUUUUUAU
rnacentral:lncRNA from 1 species